rnacentral:tRNA from 1 species
GGGCGAUUAGCUCAGUUGGUAGAGCAACGAGUUUACACCUCGAAGGUCACAGGUCCGAGUCCUGUAUCGCCCACCA